UAUAUUUAUUUGUACUAGCCAUUUUGCCGAUAUAUGUUUCAAGGAAAACCGAAUGCUAUUAAGAAAUUGUCUGCCAACAAUAGGCCUUCCAGGCAAACGGGAGACUAAUAUUAAAUUGUCUACCAAUAAAAGGCCUUCCAGGUAUGUUUAAAUAAGACUAUCCUAUGUCGUAUUUUAAAUAUUACUACAUACAUGUGAAUAAUUUACGUAUUUUACUAUUUUCGUAGUAUGUUUAUUUGUAGUAUGCAUUUUCACGAUGUGUUUCAAGGCACACGGGAGACUAAUAUUAAAUUGUCUACCAACAAAAGGACUUCCAGGUAUGUUUAAUUGCGCGUAAUUAUUGAUCAUUUGCGCACAAAAGAGGACAAUGGGCAUGUAUUCUGUGCUGAACACCAACAGCAACCACAUAAAAUCACGUUUUUCGGCGUUUAAAUAAUGUUCAUGACGUAUUAAGUUCUGAAGUUCACAGUACUUCUCAUUGGGGGAUGGGGAAUGUUCUGUGCUGAAGACCCCAAUAUUUGUUUGCUUUAAUAAUUUCAGUUUCAAAUUAAAUCGAGUUUCUAAUAAAUGUACGUUUUUAAAAAUAUAGGCAUUUUGCAUUGCAGACUGAUUUCGAAGGUGCUGCAAUGCCAAAAGCUGUAGUAAGUGUCAUUAACUCCCAUGCCAUGACCAUGAUAAGCAAUGUCAAAGAUAACCGUGUGAAAAUUACAUUUAAUAAACCAUUUGACAUGAAAACAAAAUAAUUUUUGCCGAUAAGAUACCUCUUUUCGUAGAAAACCGAGUUUGAAAUCGUUUUACUUUUAUACGAAAAGUGCGGCUUCAAUUUCUAUUUUUCGGGAAAAUAAAUUUUCUUCAACUUCUUGCUGUGUAAUUUCAUCUGCCAUACUUUCCCUACGACCGUAUUAAGUUAACAGUUAAAUUAAGUAACAGACCAAUUUGCACAUAUAUAUAUGUCACAAUUAAAACCUGUAUAACUAUAGUUUAUAAAGUGUUAAAACGUUUAUCAGUUUUUGAGAGAAAAAAUCCUUCUUUUUGGGAGAUCAAAACAAUGGAAAAACUUGGUAACUAAUGAUCGGUAAAAAUCAAUGUUGUUUUAGGUCUUUGCCCUCUUGAAACCUAAAUUUGUCUGAAUUAUUUUUUACAUUUGUGACAGUGGUAUGUAUGUAUUGAGAUAACAGAAAUAGUUUUUAUUGUUGUGUUGUUGUAUUUAUGUUCGUACAUUCUCUUUUUUAAAUAUUGUUUAGUUUGUCCUAUAUUUGUAUUAUCACAUUCUAAAAGUAUUGAAUGCACUGAAUUAAUUAAUUCAUUAGUUGUUACACUGAAUUAUUUGUUUAUUUUCUUAAACCUUGAUUCAUAACGUGCUCAUUUUGCUUUUUGAUCAAAGGUUUGUUGUUUGUAUAAAACACUUUUCACAAAUUAAGAGUACUUGGCGUUUCGCCUAUUUAUUUACUGCAAUAAAAAAUUGAAAAUG